GGGUUGUGAGGUUAAGCGACUAAGCGUACACGGUGGAUGCCCUGGCAGUCAGAGGCGAUGAAGGACGUGCUAAUCUGCGAUAAGCGUCGGUAAGGUGAUAUGAACCGUUAUAACCGGCGAUUUCCGAAUGGGGAAACCCAGUGUGAUUCGUCACACUAUCAUUAACUGAAUCCAUAGGUUAAUGAGGCGAACCGGGGGAACUGAAACAUCUAAGUACCCCGAGGAAAAGAAAUCAACCGAGAUUCCCCCAGUAGCGGCGAGCGAACGGGGAGGAGCCCAGAGCCUGAAUCAGUGUGUGUGUUAGUGGAAGCGUCUGGAAAGGCGCGCGAUACAGGGUGACAGCCCCGUACACAAAAAUGCACAUGCUGUGAGCUCGAUGAGUAGGGCGGGACACGUGGUAUCCUGUCUGAAUAUGGGGGACCAUCCUCCAAGGCUAAAUACUCCUGACUGACCGAUAGUGAACCAGUACCGUGAGGGAAAGGCGAAAAGAACCCCGGCGAGGGGAGUGAAAAAGAACCUGAAACCGUGUACGUACAAGCAGUGGGAGCACAGAGCAAUCUGUGUGACUGCGUACCUUUUGUAUAAUGGGUCAGCGACUUAUAUUCUGUAGCAAGGUUAACCGAAUAGGGGAGCCGAAGGGAAACCGAGUCUUAACUGGGCGUUAAGUUGCAGGGUAUAGACCCGAAACCCGGUGAUCUAGCCAUGGGCAGGUUGAAGGUUGGGUAACACUAACUGGAGGACCGAACCGACUAAUGUUGAAAAAUUAGCGGAUGACUUGUGGCUGGGGGUGAAAGGCCAAUCAAACCGGGAGAUAGCUGGUUCUCCCCGAAAGCUAUUUAGGUAGCGCCUCGUGAAUUCAUCUCCGGGGGUAGAGCACUGUUUCGGCAAGGGGGUCAUCCCGACUUACCAACCCGAUGCAAACUGCGAAUACCGGAGAAUGUUAUCACGGGAGACACACGGCGGGUGCUAACGUCCGUCGUGAAGAGGGAAACAACCCAGACCGCCAGCUAAGGUCCCAAAGUCAUGGUUAAGUGGGAAACGAUGUGGGAAGGCCCAGACAGCCAGGAUGUUGGCUUAGAAGCAGCCAUCAUUUAAAGAAAGCGUAAUAGCUCACUGGUCGAGUCGGCCUGCGCGGAAGAUGUAACGGGGCUAAACCAUGCACCGAAGCUGCGGCAGCGACACUGUGUGUUGUUGGGUAGGGGAGCGUUCUGUAAGCCUGUGAAGGUGUGCUGUGAGGCAUGCUGGAGGUAUCAGAAGUGCGAAUGCUGACAUAAGUAACGAUAAAGCGGGUGAAAAGCCCGCUCGCCGGAAGACCAAGGGUUCCUGUCCAACGUUAAUCGGGGCAGGGUGAGUCGACCCCUAAGGCGAGGCCGAAAGGCGUAGUCGAUGGGAAACAGGUUAAUAUUCCUGUACUUGGUGUUACUGCGAAGGGGGGACGGAGAAGGCUAUGUUGGCCGGGCGACGGUUGUCCCGGUUUAAGCGUGUAGGCUGGUUUUCCAGGCAAAUCCGGAAAAUCAAGGCUGAGGCGUGAUGACGAGGCACUACGGUGCUGAAGCAACAAAUGCCCUGCUUCCAGGAAAAGCCUCUAAGCAUCAGGUAACAUCAAAUCGUACCCCAAACCGACACAGGUGGUCAGGUAGAGAAUACCAAGGCGCUUGAGAGAACUCGGGUGAAGGAACUAGGCAAAAUGGUGCCGUAACUUCGGGAGAAGGCACGCUGAUAUGUAGGUGAAGUCCCUCGCGGAUGGAGCUGAAAUCAGUCGAAGAUACCAGCUGGCUGCAACUGUUUAUUAAAAACACAGCACUGUGCAAACACGAAAGUGGACGUAUACGGUGUGACGCCUGCCCGGUGCCGGAAGGUUAAUUGAUGGGGUCAGCGCAAGCGAAGCUCUUGAUCGAAGCCCCGGUAAACGGCGGCCGUAACUAUAACGGUCCUAAGGUAGCGAAAUUCCUUGUCGGGUAAGUUCCGACCUGCACGAAUGGCGUAAUGAUGGCCAGGCUGUCUCCACCCGAGACUCAGUGAAAUUGAACUCGCUGUGAAGAUGCAGUGUACCCGCGGCAAGACGGAAAGACCCCGUGAACCUUUACUAUAGCUUGACACUGAACAUUGAGCCUUGAUGUGUAGGAUAGGUGGGAGGCUUUGAAGUGUGGACGCCAGUCUGCAUGGAGCCGACCUUGAAAUACCACCCUUUAAUGUUUGAUGUUCUAACGUGGACCCGUGAUCCGGGUUGCGGACAGUGUCUGGUGGGUAGUUUGACUGGGGCGGUCUCCUCCUAAAGAGUAACGGAGGAGCACGAAGGUUGGCUAAUCCUGGUCGGACAUCAGGAGGUUAGUGCAAUGGCAUAAGCCAGCUUGACUGCGAGCGUGACGGCGCGAGCAGGUGCGAAAGCAGGUCAUAGUGAUCCGGUGGUUCUGAAUGGAAGGGCCAUCGCUCAACGGAUAAAAGGUACUCCGGGGAUAACAGGCUGAUACCGCCCAAGAGUUCAUAUCGACGGCGGUGUUUGGCACCUCGAUGUCGGCUCAUCACAUCCUGGGGCUGAAGUAGGUUCCAAGGGUAUGGCUGUUCGCCAUUUAAAGUGGUACGCGAGCUGGGUUUAGAACGUCGUGAGACAGUUCGGUCCCUAUCUGCCGUGGGCGCUGGAGAACUGAGGGGGGCUGCUCCUAGUACGAGAGGACCGGAGUGGACGCAUCACUGGUGUUCGGGUUGUCAUGCCAAUGGCACUGCCCGGUAGCUAAAUGCGGAAGAGAUAAGUGCUGAAAGCAUCUAAGCACGAAACUUGCCCCGAGAUGAGUUCUCCCUGACCCUUUAAGGGUCCUGAAGGAACGUUGAAGACGACGACGUUGAUAGGCCGGGUGUGUAAGCGCAGCGAUGCGUUGAGCUAACCGGUACUAAUGAACCGUGAGGCUUAACCUUACAACGCCGAAGGUGUUU
rnacentral:rRNA from 1 species